rnacentral:misc_RNA from 1 species
UGAGCAUGAAAAAUAGACAUUAUCAUACCUGCAUUGAGGUAUAUUAUAGAGUUAAUGAGAAAUGUUAUAUCCACUCAUGUAAAGAUAAAAGCUCAGUGUUCAGAGAAGCAAAUGCACAAACACACAAAUAUAUGGCUAUCUUCCUGCUUCCUUAUACCUUCAGGAAACAAGAUGCUAAAUUGGAUAAUACAAAAAUAAUGAACAUGUUCAGCCUAUCAUACCCGGCAGCUACCUAUCAUAUAGAAAAAUCUAAUAACGAAGGAAACUAGGUAUAAAUUAACAGUUCCAUAAUAAUAACAAACUUGCUAAUACAAAACAGAUAAAGAUCAAAUCUUUAAAACCACAACAGGGUCCAGCAUUGUCAAAGCUACAAAACAUGGCAAAACACACAAAAUUUAUGGAGAAAUUCACUAAGCAAGUAAAAUUCGAUAUAUUCUAUACCAGAUCACAAAAACAAGAGUAGCACAAGGUACGUAUGAUUAUGCAUGAAACAAACCGCAUAGAAGAUUAAAGUUCGAAACUUAAAAUUUCCAUUUACCAAAGCAAGAAAGAAAAAUUAU